rnacentral:rRNA from 1 species
CAGCGGUCGCGUCGCUUGGGUUCAUAAUAACUUCUCGAAUCGCAUGGCCUUGUGCCGGCGAUGCAUCAUUCAAAUAUCUGCCCUAUCAACUUUCGAUGGUAGGAUAGUGGCCUACCAUGGUUUUAACGGGUAACGGGGAAUAAGGGUUCGAUUCCGGAGAGGGAGCCUGAGAAACGGCUACCACAUCCAAGGAAGGCAGCAGGCGCGCAAAUUACCCAAUCCCAAUUCGGGGAGGUAGUGACAAUAAAUAACAAUAUAGGGCCCUCUCGGGUCUUAUAAUUGGAAUGAGUACAAUUUAAAUCCCUUAACGAGGAACAAUUGGAGAGCAAGUCUGGUGCCAGCAGCCGCGGUAAUUCCAGCUCCAAUAGCGUAUAUUAAAGUUGUUGCAGUUAAAAAGCUCGUAGUUGAACUUCAGGCCUGGCUGGGUGGUCUGCUUAACGGCAUGUACUGUCUGGCUGGGUCUUACCUCUUGGUGAGCCGGUGUGCCCUUUAUUGGUGUGCAUUGGGGAACCAGGACUUUUACCUUGAGAAAAUUAGAGUGUUCAAAGCAGGCUUAUGCCCGAAUACAUUAGCAUGGAAUAAUAAAAUAGGACGUGUGGUUCUAUUUGUGGUUUCUAGAGUCGCCGUAAUGAUUAAUAGGGGAUAGUUGGGGGCAUUGGUAUUGAGUCGCUUAGAGGUGAAUUCUUGGGAUUGACUCAAGACCAAUAUUGCGAAAGCUUUGGCAAGGAUGUUUCAUUAUCAAGACGAAG